rnacentral:rRNA from 1 species
UACGUAAGGGGCUAGCGUUGUCCGGAAUCAUUGGGCGUAAAGCGCGUGUAGGCGGUCCGGUAAGUCCGCUGUGAAAGUCGGGGGCUCAACCCUCGGAUGCCGGUGGAUACUGUCGGGCUUGAGUACGGAAGAGGCGAGUGGAAUUCCUGGUGUAGCGGUGAAAUGCGUAGAUAUCAAGAGGAACACCUGAGGUGAAGACGGGUUGCUGGGCUGACACUGACGCUGAGGCACGAAAGCGUGGGUAGCAAACAGG